rnacentral:rRNA from 1 species
AGUGGCGGAGGGGUAAUCACAUUUGGGAUGUCGCUUUACGUCGGGGAUCACUCUUCGGAAACGACGCUCUUACCCAUAACGUCCACGGACCAAAGGGGGCUCCCAGCUUCGCGUAAAGAGAGCCCAAGCGAGACAGCUAGUUGGUGUGGUAAGGCGCACAAGGCGACGAUCUUAGCUGUUCCGAAGGAAGAUCAGCCACAUGGAAUCGAACCGGUCAGAUCUACGGGAGGCAGCAGUGGGGAAAUUGCACAUGGGGGAACCCUGAUGCAGCCACGCCGCGUGUGUGAAGAAGGCCUUCGGGUUGUAAAGCACCCUCAGUUGUGAGGAAAGGGAUACGGUUAAUACCCGUGUUCUGUGACGUUAGCAACAGAAGAAGCACCGGCUAACUUCCGUGCCAGCAGCCGCGGUAAUACGGAGGGUGCGAGCGUUAAUCGGAAUUUACUGGGCGUAAAGCGCACGCAGGCGGUUUUGUUAAGCUAGAUGUGAAAGCCCCGGGCUCAACCUGGGAAUAGCAUUCUAGAACUGGCAGGCUAGAGUCUUUGGAGAGGGGAGUGGAAUUCCAGGUGUAGCGGUGAAAUGCGUAGAUAUCUGGAGGAACAUCAGUGGCGAAGGCGACUCCCUGGCCAAAGACUGACGCUCAUGUGCGAAAGUGUG